GCCUCAUCUAGCUUACUUGAUAGAGCAUGAGACUCUUAAUCACAGGGUCACGGUUUUGAGCCCCAUGUUGGGUA